rnacentral:rRNA from 1 species
GAACGCGGCAUUGGGCAACCAGUGCCGAGUGGCGGACGGGUGAGGAACACGUGGGUUAUCUACCAAGAGGUGAGGAAUACCGGCGAGAAAUCGCCGACAAUACCGCAUAGGUUUGGAGACAAACAAAGUUGAGCAAUCAACGCCUUUUGAUGAGCCUGCGUCCGAUUAGCUGGUUGGUGGGGUAAAAGCCUACCAAGGCGACGAUCGGUAGCUGGUCUGAGAGGACGAUCAGCCACACUGGGAUUGAGAACGGCCCAGACUCCUACGGGGGGCAGCAGUGAGGAAUUUUCGUCAAUGGGGGCAACCCUGAACGAGCAACGCCGCGUGCAGGAAGAAGGUUUUCGGAUCGUAAACUGCUUUUCUUGGGGAAGAGAAUGGACGGUACCCAAGGAAUAAGCCCCGGCUAACUACGUG